rnacentral:lncRNA from 1 species
GAAAGAAUUAGAAACUGUACAAAUGAGAUUUUGACAGACUUGAAAGGUGGGCCUGGGUGAACCUAAUGAGGUUGUGCUCUUGCAGCUCGGAAAGCAAAUGGUAUCCUGGGCUCCAUCAUGAGAGGGGUGGCCAGCAGAGACAGGGAGGUGAUUGUCCCUCUCUACUCUGCUCUUGUGAGGCCCCAUCUGGAGUACUGUGUCCAGGUAUGGAGCCCCCAGUACAAGAAAGAGAGCUGUUGGAGAGAGUCCAGAGGAGGGCCACAAAGAUGAUCAGGGGGCUGGAGCACCUCCCUUACGAGGACAGGCUGAGGAAGCUGGUCUUAUCCAGCCUGGAGAAGAGAAGGCUGCGGGGUGACCUCAUUGCAGCCUUUCAGUACCUGAAGGAAGCCUAUAAACAGAAAGGGAGUAAACUCUUUGAAAGGGUAGAUAACAGCAGGACAAGGGGGAACAGUUUUAAGUUGAAAGAGGGAAGAUUUAGGUUGGAUGUUAGGGGGAAGUUCUUUACCAGGAGAGUGGUGAGGUGCUGGAACAGGCUGCCCAGAGAGGUUGUGGAUGCCCCGUCCCUGGAGAUGUUCAAGGCCAGGUUGGAUGAAGCCCUGGGCAGCCUGGUCUAGUAAAUGGGGAGGUUGGUGGCCCUGCCCAGCAGGGGGUUGGAGGUUCAUGAUCCUUGAGGUCCCUUCCAACCCAGGCCAUUCUGUGAUUCUGUGACUUUAAAAUUAAAUAGUUUGGAGUUCCUCAAUAUUCUUUCAAUUACAAAACAGAAUUCUAUUAAUGUGUCCUAAAAUUUUAUUUUUAUAUAUAUUUUAAAAAGUGUUAAGUCACGUUCAAAGAUUCUGACAAAGCUCGUUAUCGCUGUCUUGGUUUUAGGCCCAUCCCCCUACCUUUUCCCUAUCUCCUUUCUUCUCUCCUGGGGUGGGGGUCCAUGGAUCCCCUCCAACCCAUUAGUCACGGAACUGGGCUGAACCAGCCCAAAAACCUUGACAAGAAAACAAGAAAAUUACUUUGCUUUGUAUUUUUUCACCUUGUCCUAUUUCUGUUUCAUUUGUUUGUGCACUGAGGUAGUUAUUCCACAGCUGUUCUCUAAUAUUGCAACAGAAUUACAAAAAAGAGUACAGAUGUUACCGGAAGAAAUCUCAAAUCUGACCCUGCCAGUACACAACAUAGAGCCACUGCUAAGUGAUCUCAGGAAACCACCUUCAAGUUUUGAAAUAGAUAACCUCUGUUGGUGCACAAGAAAAUAGCUAUGCAGGCUGUUUCUUCACCAGAUUUAUUUGCAAAGUAUGAAGAAAUCCUGUUGGUUGUGUGGGUGGAAGAAAGAUUUUUUUUUCCCUGUGCUUUGAUGACUGUUUACAUGAUACAGUUAUCCCCACACUGUACAAAAUAGCAGAGACUUGAUUUUAAUCUUAUUAAGUUUACUAUGCAUCAGUAUGCUUCAUGCAUGGCUUAGCAAUAGCUUGAUGCUAGCAUAGCCUUGGCAACAAGUCUAAUUUAGUUCCAAACUUCUUUUUUUCCUUUCUUUCUCCUGCACUGCUUACUGAUAUUCUCCAAAAUGAG